ensembl:lncRNA
CUGAAACCAGCAACACCCAGCAGCAGAGAAACCCACAGACACUUAAUGAUACCAGCAACACUGUCCUGCAGAGAAACCCACAGAGACACACAACAGUUAGAGCUAAAACCACCAGCACUGACCAGACAAGUAGACAUCUGAGACGCACGACAACCAGGGCGACAACCAGCACCACUGACCAUCAGGGAAGAAAAAAUUGUCCUGAGUCCGUCAGCGCUGACCAGCCAAGAAACACUUCUAGGGCUGAGACAUGCAACACUGACCAACAACGAACAACCAGCAAAGACCAUCAGAGACCUUCAACAACCUGCACUGACCAGCAGCAGAGACGCAUAAGAACCAGGUCUGGCCAAACAACACCAAUUGCCUCCCCCACAAGAUUCACAUUUAGUGAGACUCACAAAGGACCAGAGGCUUCUCCCAAAGCUGCAGUAGUCUUGGGAGGUAAAGAUGAUGAUGCGCAACACUGUAACUGCCCUUCUCAACCAUUUCCUCUUGGCCAGGAUAGUGGGCAGUCCACAGCAACCUUUAUGAAGAGGAACCGGGAGGACCCAGGGGAAGAAAGCCCCUAUCACAGCCAUUUACCAGAAACCUUCUCACCCAGUGAAAUAAACAAAAACAUCACCACAAAAAGAAAGAAUAUAUUUGAAUUGCUAAUGCAGAGUGACCCACUUGACCUGGACAGUGUUCUGCUGAUGGCACAGACCGCAAAUGUUCAAACAGUGACAACAGGAUACUCUCAUGACUCUGUUAAGUUGUGGUUGAAAGGUGAAAGCACAGAUUUCCUGUUGAAGGCGUCACAUUUUGAAAGAGGAAAGAGGAAACUGCUGAAUCCCUGCCAGGCCCAGAAAGAGAAAGAGAAUUUACCUGUUGAUUUAUACAGUCUUUACACUGACACAGCAGAGUCUGAUCUACAACACAAUAGCACAGUGCGGGCAGAGGAAACCUACCCAAAUACUGAAGAGAAUACAUGUCCUGAAGCAGCAGUGCCGAUAGCUGGUGAGGAUGUCACAAAAAAUCUGAAUAAUUUAAAGGGCACUCACUCCAAUCAAGAUGCUGGGCCAGGGACAGAUUCUAUGGACUGUACAAGACCUAGGGCUGCAUUGGACCUGAACCUUGUGGACCUGGGUGACACUUGCUGUACCCUUACAAACGUUUCUUUCCCUGAUAAACACAUGUCCCAGUCCAAA